UGGCGGCAUGCUUUACACAUGCAAGUCGAACGGCAGCACGGGUGCUUGCACCUGGUGGCGAGUGGCGGACGGUGAGUAAUGCAUCGGAACGUGUCCUGAAGUGGGGGAUAACGCAUCGAAAGAUGUGCUAAUACCGCAUAUUCUCUGAGGAGGAAAGUAGGGGAUCGAAAGACCUUAUGCUUUUGGAGCGGCCGAUGUCUGAUUAGCUAGUUGGUAGGGUAAUGGCUUACCAAGGCGACGAUCAGUAGUUGGUCUGAGAGGACGACCAGCCACACUGGGACUGAGACACGGCCCAGACUCCUACGGGAGGCAGCAGUGGGGAAUUUUGGACAAUGGGCGCAAGCCUGAUCCAGCAAUGCCGCGUGAGUGAAGAAGGCCUUCGGGUUGUAAAGCUCUUUCAGUUGAGAAGAAAAAGUCGUGACUAAUAAUCAUGAUUCAUGACGGUAUCAACAGAAGAAGCACCGGCUAACUACGUG
rnacentral:rRNA from 1 species